rnacentral:rRNA from 1 species
UCAGAGGGAGNUAGAAUUCCACGUGUAGCAGUGAAAUGCGUAGAGAUGUGGAGGAAUACCGAUGGCGAAGGCAGCCUCCUGGGAUAACACUGACGNUCAUGCCCGAAAGCGUGGGUAGCAAACAGGAUUAGAUACCCUGGUAGUCCACGCCCUAAACGAUGUCGAUUAGCUGUUGGGCAGCAUGACUGCUUAGUAGCGAAGCUAACGCGUGAAAUCGACCGCCUGGGGAGUACGGUCGCAANAUUAAAACUCAAAGGAAUUGACGGGGACCCGCACAAGCGGUGGAUGAUGUGGAUUAAUUCGAUGCAACGCGAAGAACCUUACCUGGUCUUGACAUGUGCGGAACCCUCCAGAGACGGAGGGGUGCCUUCGGGAGCCGUAACACAGGUGCUGCAUGGCUGUCGUCAGCUCGUGUCGUGAGAUGUUGGGUUAAGUCCCGCAACGAGCGCAACCCUUGUCAUUAGUUGCCAUCAUUAAGUUGGGCACUCUAAUGAGACUGCCGGUGACAAGCCGGAGGAAGGUGGGGAUGACGUCAAGUCCUCAUGGCCCUUAUGACCAGGGCUUCACACGUCAUACAAUGGUCGGUACAGAGGGUAGCCAAGCCGCGAGGUGGAGCCAAUCUCACAAAACCGAUCGUAGUCCGGAUUGCACUCUGCAACUCGAGUGCAUGAAGUCGGAAUCGCUAGUAAUCGCAGGUCAGCAUACUGCGGUGAAUACGUUCCCGGGUCUUGUACACACCGCCCGUCACACCAUGGGAGUGGGGGAUACCAGAAGUAGGUAGGGUA